ensembl:misc_RNA Y_RNA Y RNA
GACUGGUCCGAAGGUACUGAGUUAUUGCCAUUGAGUGUUGACAAGUCAGUUCCAAGUGGAAUCCUUGUUCCAUUCCACUCUUUCCCUCCUUCUCACUACUGCACUUGACUGGUAAG